rnacentral:rRNA from 1 species
UAUUGGACAAUGGGCGCAAGCCUGAUCCAGCCAUGCCGCGUGGAUGAUGAAGGCCUUAGGGUUGUAAAGUCCUUUUAACGGGGAAGAUAAUGACGGUACCCGUAGAAUAAGCCCCGGCUAACUUCGUGCCAGCAGCCGCGGUAAUACGAAAGGGGGCUAGCGUUGCUCGGAAUUACUGGGCGUAAAGCGCACGUAGGCGGGUUCUUAAGUCGGUGGUGAAAUCCUGGAGCUCAACUCCAGAACUGCCUUCGAUACUGGGAAUCUUAGUCCGGGAGAGGUGAGGUGAACUGCGAGUGAGAGGUAAAUUCGAGUUUCGCAAGACACCAGUGGCAAGCGGCUCACUGGCCCGUCUGCGUGCGUGAAAUCGU